rnacentral:lncRNA from 1 species
AUUUCUGCAAGUAGUAGAGUGAUUCCAUACCUGUAUUCCUAUUCUAAUAGAAUGAAACCUUCAAUAACAGAAAAUUCUCCCUCUUAUUCUCCUCUUCUAAUCAAAUCCAUGGCUACCCCGAAACCAUUGCCAUCUUCUGCUUCCAAAACUGUUAGCUCUAGAAAGGUUAGUUCAUCUUUUGAUAUUUUCUUCUUGGAGUUUUGAGAUUGGUAAUUUUAGCUUUCAAUUUAUUGGCAUUUAUUUGUUUAUAUGUUCCUAAUAAUGCAGAAUUCAACUGUGUUUCCUCUUGGAGAGAAAGGACCAAGAAAAGAGCUAUUAGCGACCUCACCUCCAGUAAAGCUGCUAACAAGGGUGGAGCAACUGAAGCUACUGAGCAAGGCAGAGAAAGC